rnacentral:rRNA from 1 species
AUUGAACGCUGGCGGCAUGCUUUACACAUGCAAGUCGAGCGGCAGCGCGGGGGCAACCCUGGCGGCGAGCGGCGAACGGGUGAGUAAUACAUCGGAACGUACCCAGGAGUGGGGGAUAGCCCGGCGAAAGCCGGAUUAAUACCGCAUACGAUCUUAGGAUGAAAGUGGGGGACCGCAAGGCCUCACGCUUUUGGAGCGGCCGAUGUCCGAUUAGCUAGUUGGUGGGGUAAAGGCCUACCAAGGCGACGAUCGGUAGCUGGUCUGAGAGGAUGAUCAGCCACACUGGGACUGAGACACGGCCCAGACUCCUACGGGAGGCAGCAGUGGGGAAUUUUGGACAAGUGGGGGAACCCUG